AAGGGAGACCUAAUUCGGGUAGAAGACGAAAAAAUAGUAGUCGAAACCAAGAAUCAAUCCCAAAAGGUCGGAACGAGGUAUGUGGCUUUCAAACUAGGUUCUGGGUUCACAAAAGACCUGAAUCAGGAACAAGGGCUAUUAGCUCAGGUGGUUAGAGCGCACCCCUGAUAAGGGUGAGGUCCCUGGUUCGAGUCCAGGAUGGCCCACCUGCACAGGUGGCAAAAACAAGAGAAACGAGGAAUCAGCACCUUAUCUUACUUACAUAGUAAGAGAGAAUGCUGGCUCUGAGUAAAGAGUCCAGAGGAACCUCGAAAACUGCAUAGAGCUAGGUGAAAAAGCCAAAAAAGAAGACCGCAA
rnacentral:tRNA from 1 species